UUGGAGGGCAAGUCUGGUGCCAGCAGCCGCGGUAAUUCCAGCUCCAAUAGCGUAUAUUAAAGUUGUUGCAGUUAAAAAGCUCGUAGUUGAACUUCGGGGUUAGUAGAUUGGUCAUGCCUCUGGUAUGUACUGGUCUCACUGAUUCCUCCUUCCUGAUGAGCCGUAAUGCCAUUAAUUUGGUGUUGCGAGGAAUCUGGACUGUUACUUUGAAAAAAUUAGAGUGUUUAAAGCAAGCUAACGCUUGAAUACAUUAGCAUGGAAUAAUGAAAUAGGACGUUUGAUUCUAUUUUGUUGGUUUCUAGGAUUGACGUAAUGAUUAAUAGGGAUAGUUGGGGGCAUUAGUAUUCAAUUGUCAGAGGUGAAAUUCUUGGAUUUAUUGAAGACUAACUACUGCGAAAGCAUUUGCCAAGGAUGUUUUUAUUAAUCAAGAACGAAAGUUAGGGGAUCGAAGACGAUCAGAUACCAUCGUAGUCUUAACCAUAAACUAUGCCGACUAGGGAUCGGAUGACGUUAUUUUUAAUGACUCAUUCGGCGCCUUACGGGAAACCAAAGUGUUUGGGUUC
rnacentral:rRNA from 1 species